rnacentral:rRNA from 1 species
GAUGAACGCUGGCGGCGUGCCUAAUACAUGCAAGUCGAGCGAAUGGAUUAAGAGCUUGCUCUUAUGAAGUUAGCGGCGGACGGGUGAGUAACACGUGAGUAACCUGCCCAUAGGACUGGGAUAACUCCGGGAAACCGGGGCUAAUACCGGAUAAUAUUUUGAACUGCAUGGUUCAAAAUUGAAAGGCGGCUUCGGCUGUCACUUAUGGAUGGACCCGCGUCGCAUUAGCUAGUUGGUGAGGUAACGGCUCACCAAGGCAACGAUGCGUAGCCGACCUGAGAGGGUGAUCGGCCACACUGGGACUGAGACACGGCCCAGACUCCUACGGGAGGCAGCAGUAGGGAACCUUCCGCAAUGGACGAAAGUCUGACGGAGCAACGCCGCGUGAGUGAUGAAGGCUUUCGGGUCGUAAAACUCUGUUGUUAGGGAAGAACAAGUGCUAGUUGAAUAAGCUGGCACCUUGACGGUACCUAACCAGAAAGCCACGGCUAACUACGUGCCAGCCGCCGCAGUAA